CCAGUUGCAAGCACCACUUACUGCAUCUGGCUUUAUGUGGGUACUGGGGAAUCGAACUCUGGGCCAUCAGGCUUUGCAAGCAAGGGCCUUUAACCACGGAGCCAUCUCUCCAGCCCUGUUCUACUCUUUAAUUCAGCGAUGCCCACCUGAGGGGUCGCCCCAUCCCAAGAAACCCCUGCCCUUUUCAGUCCCCCCCCCAACAGGGGCCAAUGAAGUGGGGAAUCUCUGCAUGCACUGCCUGCCCGUGGUACCAGUUCAGCCAUCAGUGGAAACCCAGGGGCAGACCGGAAACAAUCACCCAAUUUACCAAAUACCUCAGGGGGGCGUGGGGGAGGCUUACUGACCCCUGGUACAGCUGGCUCCUGCACAGCUCUCAGGCUGCCCCCUAUGCUAAGUCCACCCCCCCCCCCGCGCCCACCCUAUCCCUCUUGUAGAGCUCCUCGGACUUCUAACAUCCUUACCAACCACCUGGAGAAGCUUCCCGGGCCUCUGGGCCACUCGGCCAGGCUCAGCUUUACCCUCUACUGGACAGGGCAGCUAGGAAAGGAGCUUGCUCCUCGCCCCCUCCCCAUCCAGGCUCCUUCCUCACCAAUGGCCCUCAGUGGACCUCCUCUAACCCUCCGCACUUCCUACAUCAGCCGUCUUCACCUGUUCUUGCUGCGCAUCACCGCCCCCCACCCCCAGCAAAGUUCCAAGCCCCUCUUCUCUAUCAACACUGUGCCCUAGGGGAUCCCACUCCCAGGCUUCAACACGUCCAAGCGAACAGCGUCACGGAGCACCUCACCUUUCAUUCCGGCAGAGCCUCGCCGCCAGUGCUCUCCCCUCCACGCCCAGCUUUCCCACCACCUCCCAGCCAUCGCCCUGGCCUCCACCUCCUCACUUCCACCUCCCAGGGGCCUAACCUACCUACCCACCCUUAUUGCCCUAUGCCAGUGACCACAGUUCCUGGACUGGGCUGUUGGACGGGUCCUGCGGUCAUUCUCCCCACUCCCGUCAGGCACAGCUGCAACCGGGCCUCCCUUCCUUCCUUCCUCCCGACAAAGUCUCCGUAGCCUCAAACUCACCGUCCUCCUGCCUCAGCACCCCAAGUCGUGGGAUCACAGGUGUGUGCCUACCACGUGCCCAGUGCAUUCAACCUCAUCUUGCUGUCCCUCGUGGAAGAUGCUUUUGUUCAGCUCUGCAUAACCUGCCUGCCCCCAGCCACCAGCACUGACAGGGACGUGGCACGUUGGCAAGGGGGGACCGUCAGAGCCUCUAUCCAGGCUGCUGUACCCCACUCCAGGCACAGCCCCUGGCUCUGUCUGAUGGCAGAGCUCCAGAAGGCUUUGUACAAAUCCCCCUUUGUGCUUGGUUGGUCACUUGUGACAACAGAGCCACCAGCUGUACUUGGGA